GAUGAACGCUGGCGGUGUGCCUAACACAUGCAAGUCGAGCGAAAACACGAUGAGCUUGCUCUCUUGCCGUUAGCGGCUGACGGGUGGGUAACGCGUGCAUCACCUUCUUCUUAUUCUUGGAUAAUAACGUGAAAACGCUUACACUACUACCGCAUACGUCCUACGGCUGAGAGCAGUAGAUCUUCACGCCUUUCCCGUCUCAUUUAGACGAUGUCGGAUUAGCUAGUUGGCUGGGUAAAGGCACACCAAGGCGACGAUCCGUAGCUGGUCUGAGAGGAUGAUCAGCCACACUGGAACUGAGACACGGUCCAGACUCCUACGGGAGGCAGCAGUAGGGAAUAUUGGACAAUGGGCGCAAGCCUGACGCAGCAAUACCGCGUGAGUGAAGAAGGCCUUCGGGUUGUAAAGCCCUGUUGUUGGGAAAGAAAAGCAGUAGAAGUAUAUAUGGAUGUCUUGACGGUACCUAAAGAAUAAGCACCGGCUAACUUCGUG
rnacentral:rRNA from 1 species